rnacentral:rRNA from 1 species
UAACACAUGCAAGUCGAGCGAGAAGGAAGCAAUUCCUGUAAAGCGGCGCACGGGUGAGUAACACGUAGGUAAUCUACCUCGAAGUGGUGGAUAACCUUCCGAAAGGAGGGCUAAUACAGCAUGAGACCACGGUUUCGAAAGAGAUUGAGGUCAAAGCGGGCCACUAUACAUAAGCUCGCGCUUCGAGAUGAGCCUGCGGCCCAUCAUGGUAGUUGGUAGGGUAAUGGCCUACCAAGCCGAAGACGGGUAGCUGGUCUGAGAGGAUGAUCAGCCACACUGGAACUGAGACACGGUCCAGACUCCUACGGGAGGCAGCAGUGGGGAAUCUUGCGCAAUGGGCGAAAGCCUGACGCAGCGACGCCGCGUGAGUGAUGAAGGCCUUCGGGUUGUAAAGCUCUGUGGAGGGGGACGAAUAAGGGUUGGCUAACAUCCAGCUCGAUGACGGUACCCCCUUUAGCAAGCACCGGCUAACUCUGUGCCAGCAGCCGCGGUAAGACAGAGGGUGC